ensembl:lncRNA
UUCCCAGCACAGUAACAUCCACCAUCACAGCGUCACUGAGAUCCUCUGGGACUCUUUUACAAAAUUCCCCAUAAUGACUCUCGUGUUUUCUUCACCUCGCGGAGUUUUCCCAUUUUAGCGUGUAUAGCAGUCAGCAGGAGGAGGAGGAGUCUGCCAGCUGAAGCUUGUUUGCAGACUCUCGGUGCGUUUUGGACUAAGCCCGUGCUUUUAUGGGUCAGGCUUAGUUCCAGUCUGAAUUCUAGGUAUUUAUGAUAUUUUUUCCUCUUGUUUUUCAAAAAGUGUUUCUUUGACGGACAGCUUGUGAGGAGACACAGCAGCAGGGAUAUUUGGUCAUGAGCGUCUCCGUUUAACUCUGCGAUGGAGUCAAGUAUGAGAGUUAUUGUCCUUCUCGUUGUGAUGAGAUUUUCUGCUUCUGAGGAAGUGAAGAAGAACCUGACGGGCACUGUGGGAGGAAACAUCACUCUACCUGCACCUGUGCAGGAGGAAGAGUUAGGAUAUCUGUCAUAUGGAAGAACGAUUAUUGCUGAUGUGAAAGAGCUGCAGAGGAACGACUCAGGGAUUUAUACUGUCGACUCUAAAACAGGAAAAGUUUUCACAUCAUCAUAUAAGCUCACAGUGUACGACUCUGUACCGACUCCUGCAGUGAAGAAAGUGAGUGUGAGCUCUGAGAGCUGCUCCUUACUGUGUUUGGUGGACAGAGAGACCAAACUGCUGUGGUUUAAAGACGAGCAGAGACUGAACCAGAGCAGCUCUGCGCUCUCUCUGCCUCUCACUGUGCACAAACAGGACUUAAACUCCUCUUACACAUGUGUGGCUGCAAACCCUGCAGAGAAUAAAACUCUUCCUGUCCAUGUGAGAACGACCUGUGGAGACACCAACAAUGACACCAACAGCUCGACUGAACCAAGAAACUAUAACAUCCUCAUUAUAAUCUUCUGUGUCCUGUUGGUUGUGAUCAUCGUACUUGCUGCUUUUGUCAUGAAGUCAAUGUAUCUUCACAAAGAAAAGGAAGAAAAAAUACGAAAACUAUUACCAACAAUCUGAAUAUAGUAUCAGCUGGAGCCUUGUACAUGAUGCUCAGACUCUGGUGAUGAUGUUGGGUGAACAACAAAUCAGGUCAUCAGUCAGUUUCUACGCCUGUUAAAGUCGUGUUAUUAAGUCUGGAGCUGAUAUUGUUUUACCUGACAAAUUAUUGUGGGUCCUUUACAGGAGAAAACAUAAUACUGAUGUCAUUCAAGCAUAAUCUCUGGAAGAGAUUAAUGUUUGAACAGCAGCUAUUGUGGUGCUAAGAUAUUAUAAAGAUAUUAUGGUGCCUUUUUAUACACUGCUGUUAGCUCUGCAGCAUCGAUUCAUGGUGGAAAUGUUUGUUUUUAAAGGAAAUGACAAAAAUCAGGCUGCAGAUGACAGUUAAUAAAAAUCAUUCUUUAUAACUCAUAGUUAUGAUCAAAUUUUAAUACAUUUUUAAAUACAUAUUAUUGCUGCUGAGGAAAAACAUACAAGCGUAGGUGUUCAUGUCUGCUGCUGUUUUUUUGUAUUUGCUCAAACUCGCUCAGUUUUGGGCCUUUUGAUUGAUUUGAAUCUGAACGUUUACGUACGAGACCAAAACCUGAUGUAAUCCCAGACGUGUUACUGUGAGUGUUUCUGUGGCCUGAAAAUCAAAGAGCAUCAGUAUUAUUAUUAUUAUCACAUGCUGGUCCAGCAAUGAGAAAAUCUUUAUCAUCCCACAUGAACAAUCACUGCAUUCAGUUUAGAUUUAACCCUCUGAGCUCCUCCUUUAGGAUAGUUUUCACCUUUGAACUGUUUUACUUUGUAAUAUUCUUUUCAUUUUAUUGAGCCCAGUGUUUUCAUAUUUUGCCUCCUAUAAAACACUAAUUUCCUGACUUCUGGUAUAAAUUAAAUUCUUCUUGUUUCUGGUUCUUCUUUAUUAUAAUGUUUGCCCAUGUUCAAAUAUUUCUGCACUUUAAAACUCAGAUAUGUGUUUGGGAUGAAUUGUAGGAAUCAUGUUUAUCUCAUUUCUGUUAUUGAAACUGUCUGAAAGCUCAGUUAUUGAUCAAUAUGUUUACUUUCACAAUGUAAUGAUUUUACUUUUAUUUGAAGUUUAAAUUGAGACUGACAGCAAAGGUACCUGAGGAGCAUCAAAUAAACCAAGUUUUCUUUCAGUAUGUGAA